GCGACCGUGGCGGAAUGGCAGACGCGCCUGGCUUAGGACCAGGUGGGGAAACCCGUGGGGGUUCGAGUCCCUCCGGUCGCA
rnacentral:tRNA from 1 species